rnacentral:rRNA from 1 species
CAGUGCCACGGUAAUACGUAGGUGGCAAGCGUUGUCCGGAAUUAUUGGGCGUAAAGGGCUCGCAGGCGGUUUCUUAAGUCUGAUGUGAAAGCCCCCGGCUCAACCGGGGAGGGUCAUUGGAAACUGGGAAACUUGAGUGCAGAAGAGGAGAGUGGAAUUCCACGUGUAGCGGUGAAAUGCGUAGAGAUGUGGAGGAACACCAGUGGCGAAGGCGACUCUCUGGUCUGUAACUGACGCUGAGGAGCGAAAGCGUGGGGAGCGAACAGGAUUAGAUACCCCUGUAGUCCCUGUCUCUUAUACC